GCUAAAUAAACAAUACAUAAUGCAUCCCUCAUCAGCCAAAACCAUGAGGGCUCUGUGCUCAAAUAACAGGAAACAUAUUCAAUUUUCCUAACAGAAGACAGUUCAUUAAGCUGUGCCACAUCAAAUAAAACUUUAAUUUCUCCAGCAUCAGAGUCGCAAUGAAAGCAAUUGAGGAAGAUGAGCCAUAUGGUACUUCUAUCAGCAAACACAUAUUGCUCAUUCCCCCAAAGUUUUCUAAUUCUGCUCCCCAGACCUGUGUAAUAUAGAUAAUGUGCUCUGAGCGCAGCAACCAUGAGCUAUCUGGUGUACACUUCUAAUACUGUAUUUAAUGGGAAAUAAUGAAUCAUAAAAGCCUGCAGAAGACGGCUUUUGCUAACCUAAAUCUCAGCUGUAAUUUCAUUGUUCUGUGCCUAAGAUGCUGUUUGCCCUUUUCAAACAGCAGCAGUUGAACAUAAUUAUGCUGCUACAAACCUGGGCUGCAAAAAGAAAGCCUUCUUAAUAGAAGCAAGUUUUUAUUAACUCUUGAAAUCCUGAGCUUGGGGCAACUGCAAGCAGWGAGCUGCCUGUCGGGUUUUAGGGUUCAUUAAAGCACACGUACACGUAUAUCUUGAUUUCCACUGCGCAGYCCCACAAAUUAAAUUGAUGAUUCUCACAUUGGGCCAAAAACGCAACAGGAGAAGGCUGUGAAAAAUUAGGAAAUCUUCUUGACAUCRAGAAAUCCGACACUUGUCUGCUCUAACAUCUGUAAGUGCCAAAGUAAGAGGGGAAUUGUUUUUCUUAAAGGUAAGUCAAUUUUUCUUCUUCUCCUUCUUGCCAGAUAUAAAAAUUGUGGUUAGUGCCUGGAGUAAAGGGCCCUCUAAACUUUAUAGUGUUUAUCCUCCAUUUAGAAAUCCGUAAUGAUCUAUUUAAUGAUAUCAUAAGGUUAAAAGUUAAACAGCGCUGUGUUUUCUCUGCCCCUUUCUCCUCUGCCUUUUAGAAAGGCAGSUUUGCCUAUCUCCGAGCGACGGUCGGUCGGGGUUGUUUUCUGAAGAAGACUAUAGGUAAAGAGGCAUCCAUGUGUUCACACAGGAGGAUUCAUAAAGGCAGGGACGAGAAGAUAAAGGUAUUAUUUUGACAUGAUGACCCCUGGAAAAUGCCUUCGACUCAUCCCAAAAGCUACAGCCACCCCCACCCUGCCUUCCCCCUUGCAAAACAUCAUGACCAAAAUGACCAGCAACCCAAGCCAGAGAAAGACCAACAGGUUGUUGCCACUUUUGCUGCCUUUGCCUCUGAGAAGUCGAGUAAUUCUCCAUCGYCUUUGAAAUAUUUUCUCAUCUGUGCUGAAUUUCUGCCGACAAACCCACUGAUAGACAYGGACUAAGAAAUAUUUAUUAUCAUGGAGAAAGGUUUUCUUUUGACUUAAUCUGAGGCAAUUAGUACCUGAAUAAACACAGACUAAGUAAUCUACCUCCUCAAAAGGAGUGACUGUUCAGGAAGAACAGGGGAUCACCACCAGGCCAGAAGAUGAUGACACUUAGAGGAGAACAUGACCAGCCCAUAGCAAGAAAAUGGUACCUGAGAUGCCUCACAUGAAGCACAGGUUGCAAAUAAUUCAGCCACCAAAGCUCACAUUUCCCAAAGAGCACCAACAGACRAUGAUGUGAGGUUUUCCUCAUCAGUUCAGUGGCCGCUGCACAUGGGAUUGUGUGUAUUGGGGUGAAGGUCCCCCAAAACAGAUCCUCUGUGUUAUUUGUCUGUGUCCACAGAAUGCUGAAAACACACUUAAAUCCUCCCCUCCUUCUAUCCUUCCCCAAUGACCUUAUUCGAACCUAAUACUUUUCUCCAGACUUGUAAUGACAGACAUUUUUAAUAUGUUUCUGUUGAAUUAA